rnacentral:rRNA from 1 species
AACGCGAAGAACCUUACCAGGCCUUGACAUGCAUCUCUAAACCGGUGAAAGCCGGCGAGUGUCGAAAGACACAAUUUGCACAGGUGCUGCAUGGCUGUCGUCAGCUCGUGUCGUGAGAUGUUGGGUUAAGUCCCGCAACGAGCGCAACCCUUGUGAACUGUUGCCACCGGAGCGAGAGCUCCGAGCACUCUGUUCAGACUGCCUCGCUUAAACGAGGAGGAAGGUGAGGAUGACGUCAAGUCAGUAUGGCCCUUACGGCCUGGGCUGCACACGUACUACAAUGCCCAGCACAGAAUGAUCCGAGACCGCGAGGUGGAGGAAAUCUCUAAAACUGGGCCCAGUUCGGAUUGGAGGCUGCAAUUCGCCUCCAUGAAGCCGGAAUCGCUAGUAAUGGCGCAUCAGCUACGGCGCCGUGAAUACGUUCCCGGGCCUUGUACACACCGUACGUC